UACGAAGGGGGCUAGCGUUGUUCGGAAUUACUGGGCGUAAAGGGCGCGUAGGCGGUACUUCAAGUCAGGCGUGAAAUCCCCGGGCUCAACCUGGGAAUUGCGAUGGAGACUGCAAGGCUAGAAUCUGGCAGAGGGGGGGUAGAAUUCCACGUGUAGCAGUGAAAUGCGUAGAGAUGUGGAGGAACACCGAUGGCGAAGGCAGCCCCCCUGGGUCAAGAUUGACGCUCAUGCACGAAAGCGAGGGGAGCAAACAGG
rnacentral:rRNA from 1 species